ensembl:lncRNA
AUGAGCACAGUCUCCGGUUGUCAUCUGCUCAAUCCUCCUGUCCCGAUGGAGUCUGAAUGUCUACAUGUCCUAGAACAAAUCGGCAAUGUUUCCCCCUGCAGCUUCAAGUUCUCUGUGUUCAGAUUUCUUCAGGAAGAAAAUAAUAUAAUGAAUCACAGGGAAUCCAACACAUUGGGCCUUUCAGUGGUACACCAUCAGAGAAAGAAAGCAGAUUUUCACCUAUCCACAAAGCUUGGCGAGCUCUUUACUGGUAGGGGAUAAGGCCUUACUAGACUAAGUACAUGAAAUCAUUAAGUAAAACAAAAUGUUUCAUUAAAAAUGUCAAGUGGGCAGCUUAAGGUCAAGUGAGACACAUUUGGCCUAAAGGCUUUAUGUUGUUGUGUACACUUACAGAAAAGAAUCCAUAAAAAGAGCUCAACUGGGAAGUUGAAAACACAUGUAACAUAGAUUACAAAUUUCAAGCAGCCACAGUGUAAAUUUCUUUAAGUUUAUUCUGUUUCUUUCAGGCCCUACACACAGGCAUUGGGACCAACACUUCUUUUGAUGCCUGACCCAAUCUCAGCAAACCUUAAGAGACCCCUGGGCACCAGUCACUAUGCUUGGAACUUCCCUUUAAUCUGCAUACAGCCCUCUGAGAUAGAGGUUAUUAACCUCAAUUUUAUUGAUGAAUAAAUAGUCUUAUAAAGGUUAAGAGGCAUUCAAGCCUCACUACCAGCAUCUUUGCCUUUAAACCCCAGCUGCCUCUUAGUGUUUAGAAGGUGGGUAAAAUAGAGAAAAUAAACCUCAGCUGCCUCCUAUCACUGCCAGCUGGAGCUGGGACUGGUUAGAUACAGCCUCGGGAAGACAAUUUCCUCAUAGCAUAGUUCUCAAACUUCACAGUGCCUAGUUGAGGAAUAUUACAAAAAAAAAAAAAAACCGAUUUGGGGUUUCUGCACUGAUUCAGCAGGACUGAAGAUGAGGGCUGGUCAUCCGCAUUUUUAGAAGCACCCUCCAUGGUAAGUUGCAGGUGGCCCACCAAAGACUGCACUUUGACCUCCUCUGGGAGAAUAUCUCCUGCAAUCACUCCUCUGCCUCCAGGCAGACACACCAUACAUACCAGCCCAUCUUUGAAGAGAAUGCUGGAUUUUUAGAAGCUCUUCCCAGGAUCUUCUGGUCUGGUACAGAAACCUGGAGGCAGUCCUCACCACUUCCCAGGCCGAGCAAGGGAGAGGCAGGAAAGAAAGAGUAAGCGGGGCUCCUCUGCUCCUUCCAGGGCCAGCCCCCCACAGGAGUGACCUUUGCAAGCCUCGCUUGUCAAAUAGCUGAUUCCCACCCUCUCUGCUGCUCAUGGGGGCUGGUGCAGCGCGGCUCAGCGCUCCUCAGCAAGAAGGGUUCUGGCAACAAUCCUGUAAGAAGGAGAGUUUAAUGUUCUGUCUCUGGCAUUAUAAAAUUAAUAUACUUAUGAAGAGAGCAGGAGAGGACUUGCGGGGUAAAUGUCUUUCUUUUUUCCCCCAGGGUAAAGGCCACUUAGCUCAAAUUCAGUCAGCUGGCUCCAUGGGACCUCGAAGUGUUUAGGGCUUAACUGUGCAGGAAGAGAAUGUUGUAUACACAGCCCUGCUGCAUCUUCUCACAGUGGGUUCUAGCUCCUCCCUUGAGGCCUUGGGA